rnacentral:tRNA from 1 species
GCACCAUUAGCUCAGUAGGUAGAGCACAUGACUUUUAAUCAUGGUGUCCGAUGGGUUCAAAUCCCCGAUGGUGCA